rnacentral:rRNA from 1 species
GAUGAACGCUGGCGGCGUGCCUAAUACAUGCAAGUCGAGCGAACAGAUGAGGAGCUUGCUCCUCUGACCUUAGCGGCGGACGGGUGAGUAACACGUGGAUAACCUACCUAUAAGACUGGGAUAACUUCGGGAAACCGGAGCUAAUACCGGAUAAUAUAUUGAACCGCAUGGUUCAAUAGUGAAAGACGGUUUUGCUGUCACUUAUAGAUGGAUCCGCGCCGCAUUAGCUAGUUGGUAAGGUAACGGCUUACCAAGGCAACUAUGCUGAGCCGACCUGAGAGGGUGAUCGGCCACACUGGAACUGAGACACGGUCCAAACUCCUACGGGAGGCAGCAGUAGGGAAUCUUCCGCAAUGGACGAAAGCCUGACGGAGCAACGCCGCGUGAGUGAUGAAGGUCUUCGGAUCGUAAAACUCUGUUAUUAGGGAAGAACAAAUGUGUAAGUAACUAUUAACGGCUUGACGGUACCUAAUCAGAAAGCCACGGCUAACUACGUG